rnacentral:rRNA from 1 species
UACGUAGGGUGCGAGCGUUAUCCGGAAUUAUUGGGCGUAAAGAGCUCGUAGGCGGUUUGUCGCGUCUGCCGUGAAAGUCCGGGGCUCAACUCCGGAUCUGCGGUGGGUACGGGCAGACUAGAGUGAUGUAGGGGGAGACUGGAAUUCCUGGUGUAGCGGUGAAAUGCGCAGAUAUCAGGAGGAACAACGAUGGCGAAGGCAGGUCUCUGGGCAUUAACUGACGCUGAGGAGCGAAAGCAUGGGGAGCGAACAGG